rnacentral:rRNA from 1 species
ACAUGCAAGUCGAGCGGACAGAAGGGAGCUUGCUCCCGGAUGUUAGCGGCGGACGGGUGAGUAACACGUGGGUAACCUGCCUGUAAGACUGGGAUAACUCCGGGAAACCGGAGCUAAUACCGGAUAGUUCCUUGAACCGCAUGGUUCAAGGAUGAAAGACGGUUUCGGCUGUCACUUACAGAUGGACCCGCGGCGCAUUAGCUAGUUGGUGGGGUAAUGGCUCACCAAGGCGACGAUGCGUAGCCGACCUGAGAGGGUGAUCGGCCACACUGGGACUGAGACACGGCCCAGACUCCUACGGGAGGCAGCAGUAGGGAAUCUUCCGCAAUGGACGAAAGUCUGACGGAGCAACGCCGCGUGAGUGAUGAAGGUUUUCGGAUCGUAAAGCUCUGUUGUUAGGGAAGAACAAGUGCGAGAGUAACUGCUCGCACCUUGACGGUACCUAACCAGAAAGCCACGGCUAACUACGUGCCAGCAGCCGCGGUAAUACGUAGUUGGCAAGCGUUGUCCGGAAAUUAUUGGGGCGUAAAGGGCUCCGCAGGCGGUUUCUUAAGUCUGAUGUGAAAGCCCCCGGGCUCAACCGGGGAGGGUCAUUGGAAACUGGCCCCUUUAGUGCUGCAGCUAACGCAUUUAAGCACUUCCGCCUGGGGAGUACGGUCGGCAAGACUGAAACUCAAAGGGAAUUGACGGGGGCCCGCACCAAGCGGGUGGAGCAUGUGGUUUAAUUCGAAGCAACGCCGAAGAACCUUACCAGGUCUUGACAUCCUCUGACAACCCUAGAGAUAGGGCUUUCCCUUCGGGGACAGAGUGACAGGUGGUGCAUGGUUGUCGUCAGCUCGUGUCGUGAGAUGUUGGGUUAAGUCCCGCAACGAGCGCAACCCUUGAUCUUAGUUGCCAGCAUUCAGUUGGGCACUCUAAGGUGACUGCCGGUGACAAACCGGAGGAAGGUGGGGAUGACGUCAAAUCAUCAUGCCCCUUAUGACCUGGGCUACACACGUGCUACAAUGGACAGAACAAAGGGCUGCAAGACCGCAAGGUUUAGCCAAUCCCAUAAAUCUGUUCUCAGUUCGGAUCGCAGUCUGCAACUCGACUGCGUGAAGCUGGAAUCGCUAGUAAUCGCGGAUCAGCAUGCCGCGGUGAAUACGUUCCCGGGCCUUGUACACACCGCCCGUCACACCACGAGAGUUUGCAACACCCGAAGUCGGUGAGGUAACCUUA